rnacentral:rRNA from 1 species
CCCGGACCUUGUACACACCGCCCGUCAAGCGAUGGAAGUUGGGAGGACCUGAAGGCAGUAGCUGUGAGGCGCUGUUCAGGGUUAAACCGAUAACUGGCGCU